GGCCAAGUUUUUAAGGGCGCACGGUGGAUGCCUUGGCACCAGGAACCGAUGAAGGACGUGGGAGGCCACGAUAGUCCCCGGGGAGUCGUCAACCAGGCUUUGAUCCGGGGGUUUCCGAAUGGGGAAACCCGGCAGUCGUCAUGGGCUGUCACCCUUGUCUGAACACAUAGGGCAAGUGGAGGGAACGCGGGGAAGUGAAACAUCUCAGUACCCGCAGGAAGAGAAAACAACCGUGAUUCCGGGAGUAGUGGCGAGCGAAACCGGAUGAGGCCAAACCGUAUGCGUGUGAGACCCGGCAGGGGUUGCGUAUACGGGGUUGUGGGAUCUCUCUUUCAUGGUCUGCCGGCCGUGAGACGAGUCAGAAACCGUUGAUGUAGGCGAAGGACAUGCGAAAGGUCCGGCGUAGAGGGUAAGACCCCCGUAGCUGAAACAUUAGCGGCUCGUUUGAGAGACACCCAAGUAGCACGGGGCCCGAGAAAUCCCGUGUGAAUCUGGCGGGACCACCCGCUAAGCCUAAAUAUUCCCUGGUGACCGAUAGCGGAUAGUACCGUGAGGGAAUGGUGAAAAGUACCGCGGGAGCGGAGUGAAAUAGUACCUGAAACCGUGUGCCUACAAGCCGUGGGAGCGUCGGACAUCAGCUUGCUGGUGUCUCGUGACUGCGUGCCUUUUGAAGAAUGAGCCUGCGAGUUUGCGGUGUGUUGCGAGGUUAACCCGUGUGGGGAAGCCGUAGCGAAAGCGAGUCCGAACAGGGCGUUUUUAGUAGCAUGCUCAAGACCCGAAGCGGAGUGAUCUAGCCAUGGGCAGGUUGAAGCGGAGGUAAGACUUCGUGGAGGACCGAACCCACCAGGGUUGAAAACCUGGGGGAUGACCUGUGGUUAGGGGUGA
rnacentral:rRNA from 1 species